GUUGCUCAAAGAAACAACAGUAUCUUAUACCCGGUGCUCCUCUAGUUCCAUAAUGCCGAAAUCCAAUCCACAAGAGAAUCAGCCCCCACAAGGGUACCCACCGGCUAAUCCCCCUACUGGGAAGAAUUGCUGUCCUCGUUCAAAGAGUAAAGGAGACAGGGGCUUCAUUGAGGGAUGCCUCUUCGCUCUAUGUUGCUGCUGGAUUUGUGAAUCUUGCUUCUGAAUGAUGAUUUCAAAUGGCAGAGCCUUGCUACAAAUAAAUAGUGUUGUUUAUUCUACUACUGAAUUAUCUUCAUGACUGGAUCAUAUAUUCUAAUAAAAUGUAACUGUUUGUGAGAUAUCAACAAAAGAACCUAGUAGAUGUUUAUUUUCUGCCUUAGAUCAGGUCCUUUCUCCUUACCAUUACUUUAAUCUUCUAGUUUGCUAAUAAUAUGUAACUGUUUCUGAGAUUAUUAGCCAAAGAAUCUAUAAAGCCAUCUUAGAUAA